rnacentral:rRNA from 1 species
UAUUAGAUACCCUGGUAGUCCACGCCGUAAACGAUGUCGACUUGGAGGUUGUGCCCUUGAGGCGUGGCUUCCGGAGCUAACGCGUUAAGUCGACCGCCUGGGGAGUACGGCCGCAAGGUUAAAACUCAAAUGAAUUGACGGGGGCCCGCACAAGCGGUGGAGCAUGUGGUUUAAUUCGAUGCAACGCGAAGAACCUUACCUACUCUUGACAUCCAGAGAACUUAGCAGAGAUGCUUUGGUGCCUUCGGGAACUCUGAGACAGGUGCUGCAUGGCUGUCGUCAGCUCGUGUCGACA